GGAUAACACUGAGAAAUUGGUACUAAUACCCCAUAAUAUCUCGGAAGGCAUCUUCUGGGGUUGAAAACUCUGGUGGUUACGGAUGGGCAUGCGUUGUAUUAGCUAGUUGGUAAGGUAACGGCUUACCAAGGCGACGAUACAUAGGGGGACUGAGAGGUUAACCCCCCACAUUGGUACUGAGACACGGACCAAACUCCUACGGGAGGCAGCAGUGAGGAAUAUUGGUCAAUGGACGCAAGUCUGAACCAGCCAUGCCGCGUGCAGGAAGACGGCUCUAUGAGUUGUAAACUGCUUUUGUAUUAGGGUAAACUCAGGUACGUGUACCUGACUGAAAGUAUAAUACGAAUAAGGAUCGGCUAACUCCGUGCCAGCAGCCGCGGUAAUACGGAGGAUCCAAGCGUUAUCCGGAUUUAUUGGGUUUAAAGGGUGCGUAGGCGGUUUGAUAAGUUAGAGGUGAAAUACCGGGGCUUAACUCCGGAACUGCCUCUAAUACUGUUGAACUAGAGAGUAGUUGCGGUAGGCGGAAUGUAUGGUGUAGCGGUGAAAUGCUUAGAGAUCAUACAGAACACCGAUUGCGAAGGCAGCUUACCAAACUAUAUCUGACGUUGAGGCACGAAAGCGUGGGGAGCAAACAGGAUUAGAUACCCUGGUAGUCCACGCAGUAAACGAUGAUAACUCGUUGUCGGCGAUACACAGUCGGU
rnacentral:rRNA from 1 species